AAGUCGUAACAAGGUUUCCGUAGGUGAACCUGCGGAAGGAUCAUUAUCGAGUCCUGGGGAUUGUGCUGGCUUUGGCAAGUGCACGUCUCUCACCACUUUAAACUACACUUGUGAACCUUGGAGGUGCGUCCCCCGUGCGGGUGGGCGUUGCCUAUUUUACUUGCACACUUUGUAUCUAUCGGAAUGUAAAUGGGUUUUAUGCAAACCUAAAUAAAUAUAACUUUCAACAACGGAUCUCUUGGCUCUCGCAUCGAUGAAGAACGCAGCGAAAUGCGAUAAGUAAUGUGAAUUGCAGAAUUCAGUGAAUCAUCGAAUCUUUGAACGCACCUUGCGCUCCCCGGCAUUCCGGGGAGCAUGCCUGUUUGAGUGUCAUGAAAAUCAUCAACCUCACCGUUGACGCGGUGAUGGAUUGGACUUGGAUGUUUGCUGGGGCCUUGGUUGCCUCGGCUCAUCUCAAAUGCAGCAGUCGAUUCACUUGACCUCGACCGCUCGGUGUGAUAGUUACAUCUACGCCGGGUUUCGGGAGGACAAGCGGCUUCUCAACCGUCUCCUUUUGGGACAAAUGUUUUCAAACCUCUGACCUCAAAUCAGGUAGGACUACCCGCUGAACUUAAGCAUAUCAAUAAGCGGAGGAAAAGAAACUAAUAAGGAUUCCCCUAGUAACGGCGAGUGAAGCGGGAUGAGCUCAAAUUUAAAAUCUGGCGGUCUUCGGCCGUCCGAGUUGUAGUCUAGAGAAGUGUUUUCUGUGCCGGACCGUGUACAAGUCCCUUGGAACAGGGCGUCAUAGAGGGUGAGAAUCCCGUCUUUGACACGGACCCCCGGUGCUCUGUGAUGCGCUCUCAAAGAGUCGAGUUGUUUGGGAAUGCAGCUCAAAAUGGGUGGUAAAUUCCAUCUAAAGCUAAAUAUUGGCGAGAGACCGAUAGCGAACAAGUACCGUGAGGGAAAGACGAAAAGCACUUUGGAAAGAGAGUUAAACAGUACGUGAAAUUGUUGAAAGGGAAACGAUUGAGGUCAGUCGCGUCUGCCGGGACUCAGCCUUGCUUCUGCUUGGUGCACUUCCUGGUUUGACGGGCCAGCAUCGAUUUUCGGCCGGCGGAUAAAGGUCGAGGGAAUGUGGCACCUUCGGGUGUGUUAUAGCCUUUGGCCGGAUACGUCGGUGGGGAUCGAGGGACUCAGCACGCCUUUACGGUCGGGGUUCGCCCACGCCACGUGCUCAGGAUGCUGGCAUAAUGGCCUUAAACGACC
rnacentral:rRNA from 1 species